GCUUUCUAUUGUCCCCAGUCCUCAGCUCACCACUGCUGCUUUUGAGGACUCUCCCUUUGUGGGCUUCAGUCAUUCAAACCUGACUCCAUUAGGUGCUGCUCAUUGCCUUGGAGGCUGCUGCUCCUGUGUGUCAGAUCCACAGAGAUAUCCGAGUUCAGAAAUGAGUGGAAAAAUACCCAUGGUGGGCAGGAAGAGAAAUCCCCUUGCUAUAUUCCCAUUGUGAGCAGUGCCACCCUGUGGGAUAGAAGCACACCCAGUGCAAAGACCAUGAUGAAAGGAGUUUCCAAAGAUUGUGUUUCAGGAAAGAGCACAAUGGCCCCAGAGAGAUCUAAGGUACAAGGCGAUAUGAAAACAGAGAAAACUGGGAGAGUCGCUGACACAACGCAUGCUGCCCAGCUGCAUCAGACUGAGCCUCGUGAAUUCUCUGGGCUCUAUAUCUUCAUGGACAAUGGAUGCACUGAGGAGCCCCCUGCCCCUGUGACCUUCUACCCUGAGUAGAACGUUUUCUGCGUCAAAACUGAUUGGGUAGCUUGUUGAAUGAAUAUCAAAUACUGGGAAGAAGGAAGAGGAACAUACAGUGGAAUUUUUACAUUUUUCUUUCAUUGAAAGGGAAGGAUGGAACGGGUUAACAAGUCCUUGGACAAUCAAGCACAUCCCUUGUUAUGAAAGAACUUCAGUACCCUGCUCCAGAUUCAUUAAUCACAUGAAGAAUUUCUCUGAAUCUCCUAAAUUUCGUAGUCUACACUUUCUGAAUUUUCCAGGAAGUCACCAUGGACAGGCCACACAGAAAUUACAGGGAGCUAUGGUUCUUCACCUUGAAGAAUGUCACCACUCCUAGAAGCCCUUUCCUGCACUUCCUGGCUCCUCAGAUUUUGUUUAAAUAUAAGAACUGGAAAACCAAAGCUUUGUCAUCUCUAAAACACCUUCACUGAGAAACGAAGUGUCCUUCUCAUCCCAUGGGGCUGUUCUGGGUAUCAAGUAAGAUACUGAUAUGAAGUGUUUUGUGACUGUUUAGCUUGGCCAUUUGCUGCUCCUACCUCAAAUAGAAGGCGACUUCUUGGCAGAUACUGCAUCUUCAGCCAGGAGAAGUUGGCUUAGUACAAAAGGGCUUUUGAAGCGGAAACUACAAGAAGAUGCAUCUGUCUUAACAAAAAAUAAUAAACCAAGAAAAUAAAAGAUAUGGGAUCCUAGAAAUAAAAGGUGCAACACAAGAGAGAGAUAAAGAAAAACAUUGACAGCCUCUCUAUGAAGAAAGACCCAAAGUAACAACUUUGCAACAGCUCUAGGGAAUAAUUUGUUCAGAUAAGAGUAACUCAGGAGACUCCAAGAGCGAUUUUCGAGAAGAUUAAAUCUAUAGAAUACCUAAUAUGUUUGCACUUGUAAAGAAGAGUUUUAUACUACUUGGAGAGAAUUUAGCAGUUCAUCUAUCAGUAUCAUUUGCAUAGAUAUAAUGUUCGCUAAAUAUUUCUAUAGCCUAAGGAAGAUGGUGAAUGAGAAGUGUGCUUAUGUGUGGCAAGGAAGAAGGGGAUUUACCAAGUGGGAAGUCCAUGGUCAAAUGCUUAAGACUUAGUAAGGCAUUUACCAAGUGGGAAGUCAAUGGGCAAAUGCUUAAGACGUAGUAAUCAGAAUGCAAAUACAUAAGUACAUGUAGAGGCAAAACAUAGCAUUGUAGUUAUGUGCGCAGAUGCUGGAGUGAGACUCUCUGGGUUCAAAUCCCAGCCCUACCAAUUACUAGUCAUGUGACUUUGGGCAAAUUGUUGACCUAUUUGAAACUCAGUUUUCUCGUAUGAAAACUGUGAUUAUAAUUACUCAUCUCAUAAGAUUUUUAUAUGAACUAACUUUCUAAAAUACUUAGAAUAGUACUUGUCACAAAGCCAGCAGUAUAAAAGUGUUGACCAUUAAAAUAAUGUCAUUAGAAACAUGGAGAUAAAUAUUAAAAGAAUAAGCUAAAACAGAAAUUGGUUGUGACAGGAGGAGAAUGAUGCACUGGGAAUAUUAUUGCUUUUCAUAACUUGGAGAAAUUUGAUUUUUUAAAGUUUGUGUUCACAUAUAAUUAAAAAAAUAGAAAACUAAAUUUUAAGUGACAAGAAUUAUAUUCUUCCAUUUAGUCAGGUGCUGGAUAAAGUAGCUUUUUUUUAGGUGUCUGCAAAUAUUAUGACAAUUAGGACAAGAAAAGUGCAUGCUAUUUUCAACCAGUUUGUAUUAAUGAUGAUCCUUAGAUGUAAGCAACAGAAGUUGAUGAAGCUGAUUUAAAUACAAUGGUUUAGUUGAAAAGAUGUUGGGGAGAUCACAGAAUGAAUUGCAAUGCUGGAGAACCAGUUAUGAAAACAUACAAGCAUGAAGGGAGGCUGCAUAGCCAUAACUAUGUCCUGAAUCACACCAAAUACCAUCAGGUGAGGAUUUCACAUCUAUCGCCAUUGGACUCGCCAUACCGUAAUUUAUACAUUUACUGACCUGGCCGCCCCAACUCUUCCUGGAAAUCAGAUGCUGCUGCCACCACAGCCAUAUCAGAAAGAAGCCUCCUCUCGUGUUGUUUUAUGUCACUAGUCCCACUUCAAGUCAUAGCCAAGUGCAUAAAUUGAUCAGGGAGGCUGGGAAGACAAACUACUUGGUGUAUAUAUAAUGUCUGUGGUAGGAGGCCAACUCUACCGCCGUCCCAGAGCCAUAAGAUAGGUAAUUUUCCAAUUACAGACUAGAUGGAAUAGACUAUAUUCUUAUAUUAAUUGCUUCUUCAUAGAAGUACAUUUAUUUACCAUCAUUGAUUCAAGUUAGCAAUAUGACUAACUUUGGCCAAUUAAAUAUAAGUAACAGUCAUUCUUCACUUCAGGACAGAAAUACUAAGAACCAGGAUAUGGUUCUCCCAAUCUACUAUUCCCUGCCAGGCAAAUCUGAAGGCAUGUUGAAAGGAUGCUUCUGUCAGCCUGAGUCCCUAAAUGACUAUGAUAAGCAAAGCUUCCUUGCCAACUUGUGAUGGACAUGUAUUAUGAGCAAGAAAUAAAUGUGAUUGUUUAAAGCCA